rnacentral:rRNA from 1 species
GCAAGUCGAGGGGCAUCGGGAGGGAAGCUUGCUUUCCUUGCCGGCGACCGGCGCACGGGUGAGUAACACGUAUGCAACCUGCCCUCUUCAGGGGGACAACCUUCCGAAAGGGAGGCUAAUCCCGCGUAUAUCGGUUUCGGGCAUCCGUGCUCGAGGAAAGAUUCAUGGGAAGAGGAUGGGAAUGCGGCGCAUCAGCUUGACGGCGAGGUAACGGCCCACCGUGGCGACGAUGCGUAGGGGUUCUGAGAGGAAGGUC